rnacentral:rRNA from 1 species
UACAGAGGGUGCGAGCGUUAAUCGGAAUUACUGGGCGUAAAGCGCGCGUAGGCGGCUUUGCAAGUCGGAUGUGAAAUCCCCAGGCUUAACCUGGGAACUGCAUUCGAGACUGCAUUGCUAGAGUAUGGGAGAGGGAAGUGGAAUUUCCGGUGUAGCGGUGAAAUGCGUAGAUAUCGAGAGGAACACCUGCGGCGAAGGCGGGUUGCUGGGCUGACACUGACGCUGAAGUGCGAAAGCUAGGGGAGCGAACGGG